rnacentral:rRNA from 1 species
ACUCCUACGGGAGGCAGCAGUGGGGAAUAUUGCACAAUGGGCGCAAGCCUGAUGCAGCCAUGCCGCGUGUAUGAAGAAGGCCUUCGGGUUGUAAAGUACUUUCAGCAGUGAGGAAGGUGGUGUAGUUAAUAGCUGCGCCAUUUGACGUUAGCUGCAGAAGAAGCACCGGCUAACUCCGUGCCAGCAGCCGCGGUAAUACGGAGGGUGCGAGCGUUAAUCGGAAUUACUGGGCGUAAAGCGCAUGCAGGUGGUUUGUUAAGUCAGAUGUGAAAGCCCGGGGCUCAACCUCGGAAUUGCAUUUGAAACUGGCAGACUAGAGUACUGUAGAGGGGGGUAGAAUUUCAGGUGUAGCGGUGAAAUGCGUAGAGAUCUGAAGGAAUACCGGUGGCGAAGGCGGCCCCCUGGACAGAUACUGACACUCAGAUGCGAAAGCGUGGGGAGCAAACAGGAUUAGAUACCCUGGUAGCUACGAG